rnacentral:rRNA from 1 species
ACAUGCAGUCGAGCGGUAACAGGGGAAGCUUGCUUCUCGCUGACGAGCGGGGGACGGGUGAGUAAUGUAUGGGGAUCUGCCCGAUAGAGGGGGAUAACCACUGGAAACGGAGGCUAAUACCGCAUAAUCUCUUAGGAGCAAAGCAGGGGAACUUCGGUCCUUGCGCUAUCGGAUGAACCCAUAUGGGAUUAGCUAGUAGGUGGGGUAAUGGCUCACCUAGGCGACGAUCCCUAGCUGGUCUGAAAGGAUGAUCAGCCACACUGGGACUGAAACACGGCCCCAACUCCUACGGGAGGCAGCAGUGGGGAAUAUUGCACAAUGGGCGCAAGCCUGAUGCAGCCAUGCCGCGUGUAUGAAGAAGGCCCUAGGGUUGUAAAGUACUUUCAGUCGGGAGGAAGGCGUUGAUGCUAAUAUCAUCAACGAUUGACGUUACCGACAGAAGAAGCACCGGCUAACUCCGUGCCAGCAGCCGCGGUAAUACGGAGGGUGCAAGCGUUAAU